rfam:Puccinia sorghi strain RO10H11247 Scaffold_1203, whole genome shotgun sequence.
GCUCCCCUGGCGUAAUGGUAACGCGUUGGACUUCUACUGAAAGCCUUUCAUAGGUCAUGCGGUUGUAUCCAAAGACUGCGGGUUCGAGCCCCGCGGGGAGUG